AAACUGAAGAUAGGCGCAGAGCCUGGUUGGAAAGCCACCAAAGAACUCAGGAGCGUGCUGCAAAAGCACUGGCCGAGAAAAAUCAACGCGAUCUUCAAGUGUAAAGGGAACAAGCUGAGAGACAUAGAAUUGCUGAAACAUUAGAUGUUCAGAUCAAGAGAUGGGCUGCUGGGAAAGAGGGAAAUUUGCGUGCUCUGCUAUCAACAUUGCAAUAUGUAUGUUGUUUUAUUGCCUAUUUCUAUCAUAUUUUUUUGGUUCUCUUGUAGUUUUGAUGUGGUAACAAUCAUAUCCCUAGGUUUUCCUUUUCCAUACUUCUCAUUUUGUUGACUCAUUUCAAUCGUCUGAUAUGCUUUUUCGAGAUGUUUUGUACAUGGAGUAGAUGGCUUUAAGGGCAAACUACAAGAUAGUUGUUGGAGGAACAAAAAUGAAUUCAAAAAUAAGAACCACCUUGUGACUGAACACUGUCCUUUUUCUGAUAACCUCCUAGUUAAGUUGCUAACCUCCUUAUGCUCAGUGCAGUGCUGAUAUGUCCAAAUGGAUGUCUAUGUGGUGCUGAUUUUAAGUAGAACUCAAAAUUGUU